ensembl:lncRNA
CUCGGGCGGGCGCUGUGCGGUGGCAGUGACGCACGGCUCUGCGCGCGCCCUGGAGACGCGUGAACGCGCGAGCGUCCUCCGGCCGGCCCCUUCCUCGUCGUCCUCGUCGUCCUCGUCGUCCUCGUCGUCCUCGCAAAUGCGGACUCAGAGCAAAGCAGCUCCCUUUGGCACGGGGAGGAGCGCCGCUAACUCGACCACGCUCGCUCCCGUGAGGCGGCUCGCUUGCCGGCGAUCUCCGACGGACGGCUCGCUAGGAGACGCCUGCAGUUCCCGUUCUGGCAGCGGCUCGGUGCAAGCGCAGGCCCAAGGGAGAUGUCAGCUGCGGAGACGUGCCCUUCCUCCACAGCACGGGAAAGCAAGUCGGGGAGAAGAGCUGGAGGCAGCUGAACCUAUAUGAGAAAAUGGAACGGAGAGAGCCUGCGAAGGAGGAGAUCCCUGAGAAAAAGCGCAACACCAGCCAGAAGCUCAGCCUCGGAUACCUGCACAUGGCCGUCAGACAGAAGACGGGCAUGAAGACGAGAGCAGGGUCAGACCCUAAAGAACAGCAAGGCCACCUUGGCUAUGGAGCAGACAGUGGACCUGAAAUUGCAACAAGAAACAGAAGCUCAGCCUCGGAUACCUGCACAUGGCCGUCAGACAGAAGACGGGCAUGAAGACGAGAGCAGGGUCAGACCCUAAAGAACAGCAAGGCCACCUUGGCUAUGGAGCAGACAGUGGA